rnacentral:rRNA from 1 species
CCUACGGGUGGCAGCAGUAGGGAAUCUUCCGCAAUGGGCGCAAGCCUGACGGAGCAACGCCGCGUGAGUGAUGAAGGCCUUCGGGUUGUAAAACUCUGUCUUCUGUGAAGAGCCAUCCUGUGCAGAGAAAGCUCAGGACCUGACGGUAACAGAGGAGGAAGCCCCGGCUAACUACGUGCCAGCAGCCGCGGUAAUACGUAGGGGGCAAGCGUUGUCCAGGUGCACGGGGCGUAAAGCGCGCGCAGGCGGUGAAAGCCCAGAGCUCAACUCUGGGAUUGCCUUGGAUACGGGGAGACUGGAGGAUCGGAGAGGCAAGGGGAAUUCCACGUGUAGCGGUGAAAUGCGUAGAGAUGUGGAGGAACACCUGUGGCGAAGGCGCCUUGCUGGCCGAUUUCUGACGCUGAGGCGCGAAAGCGUGGGGAGCAAACAGGAUUAGAUACCCUGGUAGUC